GCGUCGGCGCGUUCCGCGAUACCCCGGACGAGGUGCGCCGUACCCGGUGACGACAAGACGGCGCGUU
rfam:Nocardiopsis dassonvillei subsp. dassonvillei DSM 43111, complete genome.